UGGAUGGGUGUAUUUGUACAAGUAAGAACCAAUGGUAAAUGUCACUAUGGUCUGUGCUUCCUCCGUCUUCGACAUGGAUCGACCAUCACCAUAGUAUACAUCAUGAAAUAAAUCAUUGUAGGAGUUAAUAAAAUACGUUAAAGCUUCUCGACGAUCUUUUGACAUAUUCUGUCUAACUGAAAGUUGCUGUACAAACUGUCGCAAAGAAUCUAUUGUCCACUCUAUGCAUAAGCUAGAUCUUGAUUUUUCACUUGCUAGCUCGUUCAAUGGUGAAACAACGCUUAAAUGCGCAUGUCCUACAUUAGGAGGUUUCUUCUUAUGCUCAUCCUUAUCUUCUUCGGGGCUCUUGCAGCAAGUUAGGAUUCUCCAUAGCAUCACAAGUUUGAUUAUUUGGACAGAUAAGUUUAAAAUUGGAAAACAAAACGACCGCGCGAGAUAUAAAAAAUCAACAAUAAAAAAAAGAUUAAAAAAAUAAAAAACAAAAACAGAACUAUCUAAUACUCAGAGGUUGCCGUAGUAAGGGUUUUAUUGAUGAUGACAAACGACGGGUUAUGUUAGCAAGGUGAGCAGUAUUGACAAUUAAAAUCAAUUAAUAAUUAAUAGCUUGCCUAAUGAAAAACAUUAAAAGAAUAAACAGCGGAAAGGAAAGAGAUAUAAUGCGAUAUUGAAAUGAUAGACGGUGCAUGCAGUCGUAGUAAACUGAGGAUGCACUACUGAUGAGUCAAGUCAAAUGAUACUAGUAGUAUAUAUAAACUCAUACACACUAAAAUACUAUAGUAAGUACAUUGAGUAUGACUACAGAGCAUCUAUUGAAGCACUAAUGAUAAUACUAGAAACAAAUUGUCUGCUCAAUUCAUUUUGCUUGUAUCUUCUUAUACUAAAACAAAAACUUUCAUAUACAAACAAAAAACCAUGGGACGUCUCAAGGCGUUGCUCUUGUAAACUCUAAGAAUACAUUUGACGAUCCACUUCAUCAAACGUUACAAGAUUUACUAAAUAAGCAAUCCAACUUUUCAUAUGUUAAACUGCUUAGUGAAGGAAAAAUAAACAGCAGAAGCGAAAUAAAAUCUGAAACAUACAUUUACACUUAUAAAGAUAAGUAGAAGGCUAUAAUAUUACGCGUUUGUCCUUUAAAAUCAUUUUUGCAGGAAAUCAUCAAUGCGUGCAUUGGAAACCUGUGAGGUAUGCUGCCUUGAUGCCUCAAAACUAACGUUAACAAUGGUAGGACGAUACAAAAAAUAAGACCAAAGAAUAUUUAAAUAAGAAUUAUACUAAAUCGAACUGCAAUAAAAUAAAAGCCCGCUCCCAACCGUAUCCGUCCAUCCUUG